rnacentral:rRNA from 1 species
AAGUCGUAACAAGGUUUCCGUAGGUGAACCUGCGGAAGGAUCAUUAGUGAAUUCAACUUUGUCCCAUGAGGCAGCAAUGUCUUGUGGGCACGCACUGGGGUCCCUCGUGGCACCAGUGUGGAAUACACAUCCAUAACACCUGUGAACUGUCUGCAAGCGCCUAGAGGCACUUCGGUGUCGCUUGGAACUUGCACUUUACAAACUCUACCUGUAAAAAAUGUCUAUAUACAAAAACAAAAUAAAACUUUUAACAACGGAUCUCUUGGCUCUCGCAUCGAUGAAGAACGCAGCGAAAUGCGAUAAGUAAUGUGAAUUGCAGAAUUCAGUGAAUCAUCGAAUCUUUGAACGCAAAUUGCGCUCCUUGGUAUUCCGAGGAGCAUGCCUGUUUGAGUGUCAUGAAAUCAUCCACCUCACCUUUGGGCUUUUGUCCUUGGGUCCGGCUGGGACUUGGGUGCUUGCGUGUUGCAUAGACACGCUCACCUUAAAAACAUGUUACUUGAUCAUACCUAAAGAACUGGUUGACUCGGCGUUAUAAGUUAAUUUCGCUGAGGACACUCGCAAGGGUGGCCGUUUGGAAGGCGUGGUCUUGCCCUACAGUGCGCCACACGUAGACGGGCUACAAUUCAUUUUGACAUCUGGCCUCAAAUCAGGUAGGACUACCCGCUGAACUUUAAGCAUAUCAAUAAGCGGAGGAAAAGAAACUAACAAGGAUUCCCCUAGUAACGGCGAGUGAAGCGGGAAGAGCUCAAAUUUGAAAUCUGGUGGACUUCGUUCAUCCGAGUUGUAAUCUAGAGAAGUGUUUUCCGUGCCGGCCAAUGUACAAGUCCCUUGGAACAGGGCGUCAUAGAGGGUGAGAAUCCCGUACUUGACAUUGACCACCGGUGCUCUGUGAUACAUUUUCAAAGAGUCGAGUUGUUUGGGAAUGCAGCUCAAAAUGGGUGGUAAAUUCCAUCUAAAGCUAAAUAUUGGCGAGAGACCGAUAGCGAACAAGUACCGUGAGGGAAAGAUGAAAAGCACUUUGGAAAGAGAGUUAAACAGUAUGUGAAAUUGUUAAAAGGGAAACGAUUGAAGUCGGUCGUGUCUUCUGGACUCAGCCGGUUCUGCCGGUGUACUUCCAGUCGACGGGGUCAACAUCAGUUUCGGUUGGUGGAUAAGGGCUGGAGGAAGGUAGCACCCUCGGGUGAACUUAUAGCCUCCUGCCGCAUACAUCGGGUGGGACUGAGGAACGCAGCAUGCCUUUUGGCCGGGGUUCGCCCACGUACAUGCUUAGGAUGUUGACAUAAUGGCUUUAAACGACC